CCGACAGCAUAAUGUGAGGCAAGGUCUAGCUGUUCCCCCCCGGCAUACAAGCUUAUAGAGCAGCCUCCUUUGAAGAUCUCCAGGUGGACUUCACAGAGAUGCCAAAGUGUGGAGUUCACCUUUUCUCCCCAGGUGUUCGAGUGUGGAUCAAGGACUGGAACGUAGCCUCUUUGUGCCCAUGGUGGAAAGGACCCCAGACUGUCGUCCUGAUCACUCCCACUGCUGUGAACGUAGAGAGAAUCCUAGCCUGGAUCCAUCACAACCGUGUAAAACCUGCAGCGCCUGAAUCCUGGGAGGCAAGACCAAGUCUGGACAACCCCUGCAGAGUGACCCUGAAGAAGAUGACAAGCCCUGCUCCAGUCACACCCAGAAGCUGACUGGUCCACGCACAGCCGAAGCAUGAGGAAGCUCAUUGUGGGCUUCAUUUUUCUUAAAUUUUGGACUUACAGUAAGGGCUUCAACUGUUCUUACUCAAACUGGGGACUAUUCCCAGUGUAUUCAUCAGGUCAGUGAGGUAGGACAGCAAAUGAAAACAAUCUUUCUGUUCUAUAGUUAUUAUCAAUGUAUGGGAACGUUAAAAGAGACUUGUUUGUAUAAUGCCACUCAGUACAAGGUAUGUAGCCCAGGAAAUGACUGACCUGAUGUGUGUUAUAACCCAUCUGAGCCCCCUACAACCACCAGUUUUGAAAUAAGAUUAAGAACUGGCCUUUUCCUAGGUGAUACAAGUGAAAUAAUAACUAGAACAGAAGAAAAAGGAAUCCCCAAACAAGUAACUUUAAGAUUUGACGCUUGUGCAGCCAUUAAUAGUAACAAGCUAGGAACAGGAUGUGGUUCUCUUAACUGGGAAAGGAGCUACAGAGUAGAAAAUAAAUAUGUUUGUCAUGAGUCAGGGGUUUGUGAAAAUUGUGCCUUUUGGCCAUGUGUUAUUUAGGCUACUUGGAAAAAGAACAAAAAGGACUUGGUUCAUCUUCAGAAAGGGGAAGCCAACCCCUCCUGUGCUGCCAGUCACUGUAACCCACUAGAACUAAUAAUUACCAAUCCCCUAGAUCCCCAUUGGAAAAAGGGAGAAUGUGUAACCCUGGGGAUCAAAGGGACAGGGUUAAACCCCCAAGUUGCCAUUUUAGUUCAAGGGGAGGUCCACAAGCACUCUCCCAAACCAGUGUUUCAAACCUUUUAUGAGGAGUUAAAUCUGCCAGCACCAGAACUUCUGAAAAAGAUAAAAAAUUUGUUUCUCCAAUUAGCAGAAAAUGUAGCUCAUUCCCUUAAUGUUACUUCUUGUUAUAUAUGCGGGGGAACCACUAUCAGAGACCGAUGGCCUUGGGAAGCCUGAGAGUUGGUGCCCACUGAUCCAGCUCCUGAUAUAAUGGGGGCUUGUCCAGGAUCUCAUCAGGACUGGAUGGCUCUCGCUGGACUAUACUGGAUAUGUGGGCAGAGAGCCUACAUUCAGUUACCUAAUGAAUGGGCAGACAGUUGUGUUAUUGGCACUAUUAAGCCAUCCUUUUUCUUAUUACCGAUAAAAACUACUGGUACUAUCUGUAAAUUCCAGACAUUGUAUGAGAAAGCACUGUAAAACUUUUUGUUCUGUUAGCUGAUAUAUGUAGCCUCCAGUCACAUUCCUCAUGCUUACUUGAUCUAUCAUGACCCUUUC
rnacentral:lncRNA from 1 species